rnacentral:lncRNA from 1 species
CUCAGGUUCACCCUAUAUGCCAACUCACUCGACUUGACAAUAUCAUCUUUCUCAACCACACACACACACACUUGGUUUAUGCGGAAACGACUGGACGUAGUUUAAGCAGCACCACCCAACCGUCCUUGACCGUGGACAUGGCUAUUCGAAUAGUUUCACACUCUACAGAGGUUGUACGCUGUACCCACGAGAUCCAUGAAACUUUUGUGUCAUCAACGACUCACGGUAUAUAACAUACCCGAGGUAUGUACCCGAUUAAUGCCUUUCCAUUGACGACACUAGACAAAGAGUCCACUCGAUUGGUACCCAACCCACAUGAUGUACGUUUUACGAGGACCAACUCUAGAACAUAUCAUCCAUGCGGGGACCAACGGUGUGCCCGGAACACUUAAAAAUGGCAUAGUCGACCUACCUGGUACGACCUCGUCACGCGAGUGACCAUAUCACUCCCGCCACUAGUAAUGUGGGAUCUUUGUUAGCACCGACCAAAGUAGUCAACAAAGCCCUGCCCCAUAAAGGGGUAUCGUGGUCGCACAUGUAAGGUUGGGACGGUCGACACAUCAUAAAUCUAAUCCCAUUUCCGAAACCACUCACACAAAUCCUUUCUGGUACACCACUUCUUUCUCAAGUGGUCAUCGAGCUCAACACCAUUACCCUCGGGCAUUAUUGGCACCCGGCGGGGUUUUCGAAAAACCUUUGAUUUCAUCUUUGUGUUACCAUGAUCAUGCAUAUGCUCAUCCUAUGCGUAGCACUACUACUACUUGUCAAAUUUUAUCAGCGCGACCCUCAUAGAUGGUAGAGUCAUGCUCAAUGCAAGUGCUCCAGAGGAGCUAUCAGAAACACCCUCCCGAGGGGUUAUCGACUAAUUCAUGAUCAUAUGCAUCGGAGUAAAGUAUUCAACAUGACAUGCAUAAAAAUGUUUGAUCAGACAUGGUCAAAGGG